rnacentral:rRNA from 1 species
UACGGAGGGUGCAAGCGUUGUCCGGAAUCAUUGGGCGUAAAGAGUUCGUAGGCGGUAUGUUAAGUCUGGUGUUAAAGCCCGAAGCUCAACUUCGGUUCGGCACUGGAUACUGGCAAACUUGAAUGUGGUAGAGGUAAAGGGAAUUCCUGGUGUAGCGGUGAAAUGCGUAGAUAUCAGGAGGAACAUCGGUGGCGAAAGCGCUUUACUGGGCCAUUAUUGACGCUGAGGAACGAAAGCCGGGGUAGCAAAUGGGAUUAGAUACCCCAGUAGUCCCGGCCGUAAACGAUGGAUACUAGGUGUUGCGGGUAUCGACCCCUGCAGUGCCAUAGCUAACGCGAUAAGUAUCCCGCCUGGGGAGUACGCACGCAAGUGUGAAACUCAAAGGAAUUGACGGGGACCCGCACAAGCGGUGGAACAUGUGGUUUAAUUCGAAGCAACGCGAAGAACCUUACCAGGGCUUGACAUCUAGAGAAUUCUAGUGAAAGCUAGGAGUGCCCCUCGGGGAGCUCUAAGACAGGUGGUGCACGGUUGUCGUCAGCUCGUGUCGUGAGAUGUUGGGUUAAGUCCCGCAACGAGCGCAACCCUCGUCGUUAGUUGCACAUAUCGGUAUACUGAUAUGGUGCUCUCUAGCGAGACUGCCGGUGAUAAACCGGAGGAAGGUGGGGACGACGUCAAAUCAUCAUGCCCCUUAUGCUCUGGGCUACACACGUGUUACAAUGGCUGGUACAACGAGUCGCCAACUCGCGAGAGUGAGCAAAUCUCUUAAAACCAGUCUCAGUUCGGAUUGGACUCUGCAACUCGAGUCCAUGAAGUCGGAAUCGCUAGUAAACGCAGAUCAGCACGCUGCGUUGAAUACGUUCCCGGGUCU